UUCAUUGGUAAAGAAUUCAUAAAAUGGUUUAAAGCUAUUCUUGGAUAUAAUUGAGGCUUUUUGAUCCCGGACACGUAGGACAGGACAUAUUGAUUCGAACAGGAUUCUAGCGGGUGUUUCAAAAGUUCUCUUUUGGGAAAAAAGAAUGAACGACGUGAUUGAUCACGUCCUAAUCUACGAGAGAACAAUUCUCUAUCGUUCUAAGAGAUAAAACAAUAACUGAUCAGAAUGAUCUUAAAUUAUACUAAAGGCGUUCGAUAUAGAACUUAUCCGUGAUAUAUAUAUAUAUAUAUAUAUAUAUAUAUAUAUAUAUAUAAAGCGAAAACAAUUAAAAUAUUUUAAAAAUCAAAAAAUACGAUCCGAUCGAAAGCGUCGAGUCUCGAAUUAAUUAUUAAUCGAACAUCGUCUGAACACACCCUGUGUAGAAGACAGAGAGAGAGAGAGAGAGAUAGGCCUAUUCGAAAAAUUUGACUCGAAAAUGGGAAAAUUUACUGCGGAAUUGGAUCGAGCCGAGACCUUGUGGUAACGGAUCGAGGAGCGAGGUGCGUAGGUGGUCUGGUGUUGGU